rnacentral:rRNA from 1 species
ACGGGGCCAUACUAAGUGAGGCGGAGAAACCUGAGACGGAGUGGAACGGGAAGCACCUAGAAAAGGCCGACCGACCUACCUUCACAGCCUUGUGUAUCUACCACGUUGCUUUGGCGGGUCGACCCGGUUCUGUCCCGGGCGGCCGGUGACCCCAGCCCAGUCCCCUGGGCCAGGACGCCUGGCUAAGUGCCCGCCAGUAUACAAAACUCCAGCGAUCAUUUUGUGUAGUCCUGAGAAUUCAUUCAAUGAACUAAAACUUUCAACAACGGAUCUCUUGGUUCUGGCAUCGAUGAAGAACGCAGCGAAAUGCGAUAAGUAAUGUGAAUUGCAGAAUUCAGUGAAUCAUCGAAUCUUUGAACGCACAUUGCGCACCCUGGUAUUCCGGGGGGCAUGCCUGUUCGAGCGUCAUUUCAACCCUCAAGCUCUGCUUGGUAUUGGGCGACGUCCGCUGCCGGACGCGCCUGGAAGUACUCGGCGACGGCGUCUCGGGCUCGAGCGUAGUAGUAAAAUAUCUCGCUUUGGAGGAGGAGGCGACGGCUUGCGGGAACAUCGACCUUCGGUCACUUAUUUUGCCAAGGUUGACUCCGAUCAGGUAGGGAUACCCGCUGAACUUAAGCAUAUCANUAGCGGGGGGAAA